rnacentral:tRNA from 1 species
CUCUGGUUAGCUCAGUUGGCAGAGAGCUCCACUGGAAAUGGAGAGGUCCCGGGUUCGAUACUCGGAAUAGGCG